CACCCGACCCGGACACAAACACAGACAGACACAGAUCUUAAAGUGUUAAAGUCAUAAUAAUAAAAACAAAGCUGCGAUCGUGUCCUUGGCCUCUAAAGGGCAGUUGCGACUAUGGCAAGAUCAUCAGAGAGGCAACUUAGCUUGGAAUUGGCAUUUCCCAGGAGUGUUUUAUUUCGCCAUUCAACAAGUGGAGCCAUGGCACACCAACUUAGAAAUGCGCCUGGACAGCAAUUGACUGCAGCCCGAACUUGUCAAUCAUGGAGCAGAGCAGAGCUGGAUUUGUAGAAUGGCUAGCGUACGCUUCCUGUUGGGUAAGCUGAUACAUGCAAUGGCAGGCAAAUUGAUCUUCACUCACAACAAAAACAAUGGCGAGUCUGUGACAAAGACACACACAUUCACUGACACACACACACACACACAGACUUAGUUGACCCCGACAACGAAACACAAACUGUAUGCCUUGACCUCUACCGCCUGUCGAGACUAAUUUAUCAAAUGGUUCAUAAAAGCCAAACUGAGCACAUGAGACGACGCAUAAUUAAGGCAAAAGUAGAGAAAGAACACAAAUGCGUUUUUAAACCAUUGAGCAACGCCUCUUUCUAACAGUUUUUUUUUGUUACUAUUUUGAAUUCCAUUCGAAAUUUUUUUUGUCU
rnacentral:sRNA from 1 species